AAUAAGUGCAGCCGUGAAUAUCCGUGUCUAACAUUUGACCGUCCGUCUUAUUUGAAAAAUUUGUGAAAAAAAUAAAAAAAAAAUUAGUCACACAUAAAGUACUAUUCAUAUUUUAGCAUCUAAUAGCAAUAAAAAUACUAAUCAUAAAAAAUUUUUAAAUAAGACGAACGAUCAAACGUUGAACGUGAAUAGUGUAAAACUACACUUAUU
rnacentral:pre_miRNA from 1 species